rnacentral:misc_RNA from 1 species
AACGCACAUUGCGCCCUUUGGUAUUCCGAAGGGCAUGCCUGUUCGAGCGUCAUUACAACCCUCAAGCUCUGCUUGGUAUUGGGCCUCGCUAGCAAUAGCGUGCCUUAAAAUCAGUGGCGGUGCCGUCUGGCUCUAAGCGUAGUAAUUCUUCUCGCUAUGGAUGUCAGAUGGAUACUUGCCAUCAACCCCCAAUUUUUAAAGGUUGACCUCGGAUCAGGUAGGGAUACCCGCUGAACUUAA